rnacentral:rRNA from 1 species
UACGGAGGUGGCAAGCGUUGCUCGGAAUCACUGGGCGUAAAGGGCGCGUAGGCGGGGAGGUAAGUCGGGUGUGAAAUCCCUCGGCCCAACCGAGGAACUGCGCCCGAGACUGCUUCUCUUGAGUCCCGGAGAGGAAGAUGGAAUUCCCGGUGUAGCGGUGAAAUGUGUAGAGAUCGGGAGGAACACCAGUGGCGAAGGCGGCUCACUGGACCGGUACUGACGCUGAGGCGCGAAAGCGUGGGGAGCAAACAGG